UGUUUCCGUAGGUGAACCUGCGGAAGGAUCAUUA
rnacentral:rRNA from 1 species